rnacentral:rRNA from 1 species
UACAGAGGUCUCGAGCGUUAGGCGGAAUCACUGGGCUUAAAGCGUGUGUAGGUGGAUCGUUAAGUACCUUGUGAAAUCCCACGGCUUAACCGUGGAACUGCUUGGCAUACUGGCGGUCUUGAGCCACUUAGGGGCUACCGGAACAAAUGGUGGAGCGGUGAAAUGCGUAGAUAUCAUUUGGAACGCCAAUGGUGAAAACAGGUAGCUGGGAGUGUGCUGACACUGAGACACGAAAGCCAGGGGAGCAAACGGG